AACGAGCGCUGGCGGCAUGCCUAACACAUGCAAGUCGAACGAGACCUUCGGGUCUAGUGGCGCACGGGUGCGUAACGCGUGGGAACCUGCCCUUAGGUUCGGAAUAACUCCCCGAAAGGGGUGCUAAUACCGGAUAAUGUCUUCGGACCAAAGAUUUAUCGCCUUUGGAUGGGCCCGCGUUGGAUUAGCUAGUUGGUAGGGUAAAAGCCUACCAAGGCGACGAUCCAUAGCUGGUCUGAGAGGAUGAUCAGCCACACUGGGACUGAGACACGGCCCAGACUCCUACGGGAAGCAGCAGUGGGGAAUAUUGGACAAUGGGCGAAAGCCUGAUCCAGCAAUGCCGCGUGAGUGAUGAAGGCCUUAGGGUUGUAAAGCUCUUUUACCCGGGAUGAUAAUGACAGUACCGGGAGAAUAAGCUCCGGCUAACUCCGUG
rnacentral:rRNA from 1 species